ensembl:lncRNA
CCUUGUUGGAAGAGGUGGAUCAUUUAUCUCCUUCCCCCCUGCUUCAAUCCCUUUCUCUACUUCCAGCUACCAUGCCAUGAGCUGGUUCUCCUCUGCUAUGCCACCCUGACUUGGAGCCAGCUGACUGUGGAUUAAAACCUCUACAAACUGUGGCCUUAACCUUGGAUCUGAGGACUGCCUCUUCUCAUUCCAUGCAAGGUCUUUGAAGCAAUUUGAAAGGUGCUUCCUCUAUUGAGUCUGCAGAACAGAGAAUAUCCAACUGUCCUCCCGAGUUCAGAAGAUAGAAAUCAAAUAAUUAGAAACAGGGGCCAUGCAGACGAUGAAAUGAAUGAAACCAUUUGGUUAUCAAAUGAUAUGGAGUGGUAGGAUCUUCCUGCAGUGAGCUAGAAAGUACACACUGCAUUUAAAUAAGAUAUUAGUCAGAGAGUACUAAAUAAUAUUUGCCCUUUAGGAAUAAAGAUCUUUUGCAUACAAAACAGCAGGCUUUUUGAGGUAGAACAGGAAAAAAAUAAAAACUAGCCAGAAAAGAG